rnacentral:tRNA from 2 species
GCCGUCGUGGUGGAAUUGGUAGACACGCUAGGUUUAGGUCCUAGUAGCCGAAAGGCUGUGGGGGUUCAAGUCCCUCCGACGGCACCA